rnacentral:piRNA from 1 species
UGGGUNUGGAGUAAGGGAGAGCAAG